CCCUUAGAUGUUCUGGGCUGCACGCGCGCUACACUGAAGCGUUCAACGAGUAUUCACCUUGCCCGGGAGGGUUGGGUAAUCUUUUGAAAACGCAUCGUGAUGGGGAUAGAUUAUUGCAAUUAUUAAUCUUCAACGAGGAAUUCCUAGUAAGCGCGAGUCAUCAGCUCGUGCUGAUUACGUCCCUGCCCUUUGUACACACCGCCCGUCGCUCCUACCGAUUGAGUGCUCAGGUGAAUAAUUCGGACUGCAGCAAUGUUUGGAUCCCGAACGUUGCAGCGGAAAGUUUAGUGAACCUUAUCACUUAGAGGAAGGAGAANUCGUAACA
rnacentral:rRNA from 1 species